GAUGAACGCUGGCGGCGUGCCUAAUACAUGCAAGUCGAGCGAACGGACGAGAAGCUUGCUUCUCUGAUGUUAGCGGCGGACGGGUGAGUAACACGUGGAUAACCUACCUAUAAGACUGGGAUAACUUCGGGAAACCGGAGCUAAUACCGGAUGAUAUUUUGAACCGCAUGGUUCAAAAGUGAAAGACGGUCUUGCUGUCACUUAUAGAUGGAUCCGCGCUGCAUUAGCUAGUUGGUAAGGUAACGGCUUACCAAGGCAACGAUGCAUAGCCGACCUGAGAGGGUGAUCGGCCACACUGGAACUGAGACACGGUCAAGACUCCUACGGGAGGCAGCAGUAGGGAAUCUUCCGCAAUGGGCGAAAGCAUGACGGAGCAACGCCGCGUGAGUGAUGAAGGUCUUCGGAUCGUAAAACUCUGUUAUUAGGGAAGAACAUAUGUGUAAGUAACUGUGCACAUCUUGACGGUACCUAAUAAGAAAGCCACGGCUAACUACGUG
rnacentral:rRNA from 1 species